CUGAUUCAGACCAAAGGAGACGACUCUAGGUCUGAAAGCAGCCUAAAUGAAAAGGAAAAGUUCGCCUUUUUGGAUUCUCCGUUCACUGUGGAGGCAUGCAAGAUAAACUAAGUUUUUUCAUGAAUUCAGCGUGCGUAUUUCAUAUACAAAUAGUCAUUUUGUGGGUGAAGUAUUCCUUUAAAAUGCUGCCUGGAAUUUAACUUAAUGCUAACUGAAAACCAAAAAUGAAUAGAGCAGUAAACUAAUAUUCUAAUUAAUGAAAGCUGUGAAAUUGGACACUGUAAGUAAAUCAGAAGUUGUAUCCGACACCCCUAAAACCUGCACUUAACAUAUGCUUACACAGUUAGAGCCUCAACUUCAGUCUUUAUGAGGCCAUAAUAAUGUCGAUGUGAGCCGUUAACAACUGAAAGCAGACUAUCUGAGAAGUAUGACAUUCACAACAUUCACUUUAACAUGUCUGUGUAACAAUGAGUUUCCCAUGUGUAAGUGUCACCAGGGACCAUCCACUCAGGACCUUCUCUGUAGUGCUUUUAUCUACUGUAUAGCUGCAUUAACCCAGCGUCCAAAAAAUUAACUGUGGGUGACUGAGAGCUAACAUUUAACGGUAGCAAUUGAAAAUUGAUGUUUUUGUCCAGCGUGAAAGGCCACUGGAUCAGUUCUCUGCCACACAGGAUGGAAAAAUCAGAGUCAAAGAGAGUUUUUAUUGCACCUUAUUUGUAUAAUUUGGACUUCAUAUCAGACAAUGAGGCCAAAAGAAAAACACUGCCAUCUUUUUAUUCAGGGUCCUAAAGUUAAAAAAAAAAAAUCAACUAAAAAUCUGAAUACUGUCAAAACUCUUGAAGUGCUUCUGUUCACCAACAAGCAAAUUAAAACAGAUCAAAAUGUUCGUACACAGCACACAUGUGUUGCAGGAAUUUGACCAACAGCGUCACGUCCGAUGUGAUCGUGAGACCAGGGCCUCAUUUCGUGUGUCAUCGAAGCUUAUGUUUAUUUAAUUUCUUUAAAUAGAAUAAAGUAGUUCAUAUCAUUAAAAGGGAUUUGUGAAACCAAAUCCGCAGCAGACAUCUAUUUUCAUACAGUAACAAACUUUUCCUAUAUAAGUCGUCUUUGUACAGCUAAGCUCCCAUUCCAGACCUCCCAUUUUAAUACUGAUACAAAGCUUCGUUUUAAUCUUAAACUUUUGUACAGAUCUGGUUCUCGAUUCCUGGGAAAGAUCUUUGCACCAAGGAGAAGAAAAAUGAUGCUGAAAGGAAAGAUUUGUCAGCGAGAACAACAGCAUCGGAAACGUUAAAUUGAAGUCUAACAAAACUGCACAGAAAAUUUGGACCUUUAAUUUCAUCUGCUGCAAAGAUUAAAAACACAAAAAUAGAUUUAGGCUGGGCAUAUUUGAACUUCAAUGCUCUCCAAACUGAGUAAAAUCCCUCCCUGGUGCAAAGAUCCUUCUCUUGGUGGGAAAACAUGAACCACAAUUAAUAACUAAUGCAGUCAUUUAUUGGUUUCUUCUGCCUCUCUGUGUAUAUUUACAGUAUGUACCAGUCCCUCUGCCUUCUUACACUCCCCUUCAGUUAGCCUACGUAAACCCUCUGUUAACCUAAGCUAACCGAUUUUUCUUUUUCCUCAGAGAUAAUGAAUUUGCAAGAGAAUCGAAGCAUUAGCGAUGCACAAGUUUUUACCGCCGAAUGUUGAAAUGUGAAAGUCACCUGCGGGUGAAUGUAAAAGUUUCUGAAGAUUUAUUUUUUAGGGUGAAAAAAAAAAGAACUUGUUUCUUUUUUUUAUUUUUACUGAUCUUGUUUUAUUGAAUUUAGACGUUUUAUUUUAUUUUUUUGAUCGUGUGUCUGUCACAUUUGCCUUUUGUAUUCCAAAUAUAGUGUAUUUGAACCUCUGUCAUUGGAGUAACAUGUACAACUAUCAAUCAAAAAAAAAAGUAAAAAACAAACAAAAAAAAACUACGAUUUGUUAUGUGCAAUACUUUGUAGAAUACUUUUAUUUUUCUUGCUGUUUUUUUUUUUCCCAAGAGGUGGUACUAACCUUUGAAGUAAGACGAUAGCCUGUGAAUUCUUGAUGAAGAAAAAUUUGAAUCUUCAGGGUCCAGUUAGAUUAAAAAAGAAAAACCGCCACAAAAUGCUUUGCAGUGUGGAACGAAACCAAAUUAAACCACUAUUCCAUCAAAGAUCUCGUGGUUUGAAAUGCACUGAGAAUGAUACUAAAACGUUGUCACAUCAAACUGAAUUUCUUAGUGAAACGCUGUCUUUUUUUUAUUUCUGUGACAGACUUAGUUUGUGAGGGGUAUGAAACACAGUAACACUGCCACUAAGCCCACCAUCUUUCUACCUGCCUAUCUAUUUAUCUGCUGCGUUGCUCAAAAUCAGGCAGCUUCCCAAAAGCACACCAGCGCCAACAUUUAUCGUCUCUAACCUACAACACAUCAGCAACAUCUCCAAAAUCUACCGUUUAAGACUCGAGUCUAAUUUGCUCAUGAUGGAACAAAUACCUGCUUUUGGGAAGCCUGGCCCUUGGCGACACAAGCAGUAAAUCCAAUAAAAAUCGAGAUUACACCAUAUCAAAUGUGGGCUUUUCUUUUAAAACCUUGUAUGCAAUUUUUACAUUCUGCUUAUCCAGACAUUUCUAUCUAAAUCCAACUGCGCCAAACCCUGCAACCUUAGUGCUUUAUCAAAGAAACUGAAGAACCAAACUUCAUCUGCGCAGGAACAGACAACCUGAUUUUAAAUCCCAUGUUGCCUCCAUCGUGUUCGUGUGAAAGCGCCACCAUAUCUGCAGGAUUCAGAAUCUGAUUGUUUGUUUCUGUGAAAAAGAUGCAACGUAAGACCAUACAGAUGUGAUCUUUGGGCUGUGUAGAGGUGACACAAACUCUGUUUUAUCACUGAAGUCACUCUGUGCAAAGGAGGAUUAAUGAGGCUCUGUUUCCUUUAUGCAACGAUCAUCUUCAUUCUCUGGGUUGAAGUUUGAAAAAGAUGUCCUGACUUAGAAAACCAGUUAUGAUGUAAUUCUUUUCUGGCAUUUUAAGCUUCGAUUAAGUUCAGACAUGUGAGGACAAGACUCUAACAACGACACAAAAAGCUGUAAAACCAUCUUCCCCCCUUUAACUUAAACGUUUGUGAUCUUAGCACUCUGGGAAACGGAGUCCCACUCAUCCUCCUCCAUCCUCUCUGUCGCCAGAUUCAUUCUGAUCAUGGUCUCCAAUGACAAUGCCUCUGUCUUUCCUGCAUUAUACUGUAUGCCAGCCCUUCCUUUUUUGAGAAUGUACAUGGGAAAAUGUUUUUUAAUUCUUGGUGAAGAAAAAAACAUUUUUAAAAAGAAUUUGAAAGGUUUUAUUUUUUAUUUCUAUGGCCAACCUGUAAGCUAGGUGAAAAAAAGACAAAAAAAAUAUGUGUUUGAACAGGUUUUACAGAGGUGUAAAACUUUUUUUAUUUCUUAAUAAAAAAUUUGUCUUCAGAAAA